UCACAAUUUGACAAGCUCAUGCAGGCGCAUUCAGUCCGCGCUUUAUAUUCCUGUUCAAUUCAGUUUUUUUUAACGGACCAGUUGUGCUGCGUUAUGCAUUAUUUAGCAGUUGUUGGAGAUAAACAAGGGGGUACACGUUUCUCCAAGUGCACACGCGUAAAAGCCAGGCAUUAUGGACUGGAGUGCAACAGGGUUGGAGGGCGUUUUUAAGCAGUAUAGAGCGGGAUUCAAGGAUACACGUUAGAAAGUACAGCGGUUGGGUAUCAUACCGCAAGAAACACCGCGAGGGACGUUUGUACCGGUGAUCGGGUUUCUCCUCUGGCCCAUCAGCUGAAUAGGUGGGGCUUGAUCAAUGGCAGGAAACUGAAGGAUCAAAUGUCAUAAAAUGGUGCCAGGCUGCGACAUGAAGGCAGGGGCCAUGAAACCGUACCCUCAGCAUCAGACUGUACAGUAGAGAGACAGAGUCACACUCCCGGUGUAAGCAGGGCAUAAAAACGCUGCUGCAUGAUAAGGAGCUGCACAGGGACUUUGAACAUUUUAUUAGUAUCUAUAAAAGAGGCACAGGACGAAGGACACAGUGUCUAUAAAGCCCUAAUGGAGGAUCAAUUAAGAUGGUCAAGCUGCAGAAAGAGACUUUUACAGUGUAGUGUUUUAACACUAACCUUGUCCUUUAACACUAACGUUAAAACCACAGGGCUGGAAAAUUCAGCCUAGUUUUCAUUCCGCUGCAUCACCGAUAUCUUCUAAUCGCUAAGAGUAAAAAAGUAAAACGUUUGUUUGUUUGUGUAAGAAUUUAAAAGUGAGCGGCAAAGACUUUCAGCCUGCUUAAGUACAGAAUAAAAUGACAUGAUAUACUACUCUCUCUCUAUCCCUCUAUCCCUCUCUCUCUCUCUCUCUCACACACACACACUAAUUGGCUUUUUUUAAUAUACUUUACUUAUUAGAGAAUAUUUUGCUUAAGAAGUACACUUGAACACACACACAUAACAAUUUAAUAGCUAAAAACAUUUUUCCUUUCCAUUUUUGUUAUUCUGAAAUAUCAUAAAAUAUUGAAAAAAUAAUGUAUUAGAAAUAGUGUAUUGCGUUACAAUAAAGCCAUAAUAAAAUAUUUUAAAAAAUUCUAUACAGAUAAUAGACGAUAUUCAUGUUUUGACUGAAAAGAUCAAUAUUGCUUGUAUCACUCAUCUGUUUAUUAAAUAACAUAAGAUCUGUAUUUUAAAACCUGUGUGUGUGUGUUUU